AUAAAAGCAAUGACCGUGUAAGUAGUGAACUGUUUUCCGACAGAGAAGGAGAAUCCCCGGCUGUAAGUUCUCCCCGGUUCAGGCAGGAAACGAAUUUCCCACGUGAGCUGCGUUUUUGAAAAUAAAGUAGAAAACGACGUCCCUGCACGUUACGCAGUCCGAGUGCCUGUUAUUCAAAUAGCAGGAAACAGGGUGGUACCGCGAUUUAUCUCGUCCCUUUU
rnacentral:ncRNA from 1 species